UACGUAGGGUGCAAGCGUUGUCCGGAAUUAUUGGGCGUAAAGAGCUCGUAGGCGGUUUGUCGCGUCUGCUGUGAAAACUCGGGGCUUAACCCCGGGCCUGCAGUGGGUACGGGCAGACUAGAGUGCGGUAGGGGAGACUGGAAUUCCUGGUGUAGCGGUGAAAUGCGCAGAUAUUAGGAGGAACACCGGUGGCGAAGGCGGGUCUCUGGGCCGAUACUGACGCUGAGGUGCGAAAGCGUGGGGAGCAAACAGG
rnacentral:rRNA from 1 species